UGUGUGUGUGUCUUCAGCUCCUCCUAUGAUGGCGUAUGACUGCGCACGCUCUGCUCGUGUUCCUCUGCGUGCAGGAGGAGGAGGAGACGCCAUGAUGUACCGUGAAGCAAAGUCUGCACGGGUCUCUCAGCCGUCUGCCCCCGUCGUCCUGAUGGAGAGUGAUUCUGCAUCCGCUCAAGAACCUGAUCACCAGCAGGACCCACUACUCCAGCUGGUGUCCCUGCAGAGCGCCUCGGGCAGCUGGGAGAUCAGCAGCGCUCUGUCUGCGGUCCUGGAGAAACCCGAGGAGGAGCUCCGGAAACACACUCCGGCACAGGUGUGUGUGCGUGUGCGUGCGCG